GGGGACGUAGCUCAAUUCGGCAGAGCACCUGCGUCGCAAGCAGUGUCGUGUGAGUUCGAAUCUCACCGUCUCCACCA
rnacentral:tRNA from 1 species